rnacentral:rRNA from 1 species
UAAACUAGGAUUAGAUACCCUAUUAUUUUAAAUGUAAAAAUUUGGAAAUACUAAAUUAGUAUUAGUUAUGUUCUUGAAAAUUAAAAAAUUUGGCGGUAUUUUAGUCUUUUCAGAGGAAUCUGUCCUGUAAUUGAUAGUCCACGAUUAAAUUUACUUUAUUUAUUAAUUUACAUAUCGUCGUAGUUUGAAUAUUUUAAAAGAAUAUUAAUAUUCAAAAUUUUAAAUUAAAAAAUAAAUCAGAUCAAGGUGUAGUUUAUAAUAAAGAAGAGAUGGAUUACAAUAAAUUUAUUUUAGGAUAAUUUAUUUAAAAUAAAUUUGAAUUUGGAUUUGAGAGUAAUUUUAAAUAUUUUUUUAAUAUGAUUAUAGCUCUAAAAUAUGCACACAUCGCCCGUCGCUCUUAA